rnacentral:rRNA from 1 species
GACGAACGCUGGCGGCGUGCCUAAUACAUGCAAGUAGAACGCACAGUUUAUACCGUAGCUUGCUACACCAUAGACUGUGAGUUGCGAACGAGUGAGUAACGCGUAGGUAACCUGCCCGGUAGCGGGGGAUAACUAUUGGAAACGAUAGCUAAUACCGCAUAAUAUUGAUUAUUGCAUGAUAAUUGAUUGAAAGAUGCUAUUGCAUCACUACCAGAUGGACCUGCGUUGUAUUAGCUAGUAGGUGAGGUAACGGCUCACCUAGGCGACGAUACAUAGCCGACCUGAGAGGGUGAUCGGCCACACUGGGACUGAGACACGGCCCAGACUCCUACGGGAGGCAGCAGUAGGGAAUCUUCGGCAAUGGACGAAAGUCUGACCGAGCAACGCCGCGUGAGUGAAGAAGGUUUUCGGAUCGUAAAGCUCUGUUGUAAGAGAAGAACGGGCGUGAGAGUGGAAAGUUCACACUGUGACGGUAUCUUACCAGAAAGGGACGGCUAACUACGUG